rnacentral:rRNA from 1 species
CAGACCUCUAAUCGGAAAAGACUACCCGCUGAGUUAA